rnacentral:rRNA from 1 species
CCCAGACUCCUACGGGAGGCAGCAGUGGGGAAUAUUGGACAAUGGGGGGAACCCUGAUCCAGCGACGCCGCGUGAGUGAAGAAGUAUUUCGGUAUGUAAAGCUCUCUCAGCAGGGAAGAAAGAAAUGACGGUACCUGACUAAGAAGCCCCGGCUAACUACGUGCCAGCAGCCGCGGUAAUACGUAGGGGGCAAGCGUUAUCCGGAUUUACUGGGUGUAAAGGGGGCGCAGACGGCGAUGCAAGCCAGGAGUGAAAGCCCGGGGCCCAACCCCGGGACUGCUCUUGGAACUGCGUGGCUGGAGUGCAGGAGGGGCAGGCGGAAUUCCUGGUGUAGCGGUGAAAUGCGUAGAUAUCAGGAGGAACACCGGCGACGAAGGCGGCCUGCUGGACCGCGACUGACGUUGAGGCUCGAAAGCGUGGGGAGCGAACAGGAUUAGAUACCCCCGUA